GGUGGCCAGAGAGAUGUGAUGAGAGGACUCAACCCAUUGUCGCUGGCUUUGAAAAUAGAUUAAAGAGGCCACAAACCAAGAAAUGCGGGUGGCCCCUAGAAUAUGGAAAAGCAUUUCUAGGUGCAGACGAGGCAUUUGGGGCAUAGAAGAUCACACUCUUCUUCCGCCAUGUCUUAAGAUAUUACUUUAUAGUAAUUUAUCUUAGUCCAGGUGCAGUGCCUCACACCUGUAAUCCCAGCACUUUGGAAGGCUGAGCUGGGAGGAUUGCUUGAGGCUGGCAGUUCAAGACUUCUUCCAUUUUAAGGGGCCUUGUGAUUACAGCUGGUCCAUCUGGAUAUUCUAAGAUAUUCUCCCUAUUUUAAGGAAGAUGAAUAAGAAGAGGGAGCCUCUUCCAGGAAGAUAAAUGCCGAAAAAGCUACCUUUUCUCCAUCUGGGGACGGAUGAUACCAAAAUGAUGCCCCCUUCCAGGCUGAUAAGGAGAGAAAUCUGAAAUCUGAGGUGCAGUUGAUUUGAAUCCAGGAAAUCUAAGGAAAAAGUUCAAGCUCUUAAUCAUUUCAUACCCUUCUUGUUGCUAACUUAAACUUUUUUUUUAAAAAAGUUAAUCUUGUCUAUGAAGCAUGAAUCUAUAAUACUAGGGAAAAAACUGGCUAACUUGAAGAAAAAAUAAAUUGAAAUGAAAAGCAAUUAAUUCCUCUUAAUAUGAAUAAAGGAUGAUCUAAAUGCUUUUUGAGAAAUGAUUUCAAGUAAUGAAAUUUACAGGAAAAAAAAUCCUCUUUUCUGAAUAAGCAAUCAUGGUAUUAAUCCUAAGUUCUUUAAUCUUUAUAUUUACAUUUGUUCUUAAAGCUUGGUGUUUUCUACCAAAACCAUCUGUGUAUCUCUGUCUAUCUUCACGUGUUCUUUCUGUAUACAUUCAUGCAUGCGCACACACACAGAGAUUUCAUUAUUUAUUCAUAAAAUAGUUGAAAAUCACUGCUUUGGCCCUUUUAACUGUAUAUAAAUCUCUCAGUUCUCUAGUGCUUGGAAAGGAAGUAUUUAUUUUAUUUUAUUUUUAUUUUAUUUAUUUUGAGAUAGAGUCUCACUCUGUCGCCCAGGCUGGAGUGCAGUGGUGCAAUCCUGGCUCACUGCAGCCUUAAUCUCCAAGGCUCAAGCUGUCCUCCCACCUCAGCUUCCCUCGUAGCUGGGACCACAGGCAUGCCACCACACCCAGCUAAUUUUUGUGUUUUUUUGGAGAGAUGGGGUUUCCUCAUGUUGCCCACGGUGGUCUGGAACUCCUGGGUUCAAGUGACUGGCCCUACCUUGGCCUCCCAAAGUUCUAUGAUUAGAGGCGUGAGUCACCCUCCCUCGCCAGGAAGUAUGACAAACAGAAUGAGCCUGCAACCAGAGUCUUUGAUUCAAACCCUUGCCCACCAUUCACUGACUGUUUGAGCCUCAGUAUCUUUAUGUGGAACAUGAGGUCUAUAACAGAACUUAACAAACAGGAGAUAAUUAUUAAUGAGAUUAAAUGCAAUGAGGAAUGUCAGUGGUACCCUCUCUGUAGAGGAACUUAAGGAGUUGAGCCUCCAAGCUUCUUUCUUGAUAUGCUGAUGAAAGACAUAGCCUAGUUUAUGGUGGGUGCUGCUUAAAUUCCAGCCCUCUCUCUUUCAGUCAACAGGCUUGGACUCAAAAUAAGCCCCAUUCAGGCUGAUUUGCCUGCCUAUAUCAGUCACAAACUGCACCUCUUGCAAAAACAGCUUUCCCUCCAAUGUGUACUGGCCUUGAAGAAGACUGAGAUAUAGGGAAACAAAGAUCUUUAAAAUCAAGUUACUGAAAGGUCACUGAAAUAAUAUACAGUGAAAGAUGGAUGAUGCCAUCAUUGUAUAAAUAAAGUCAGUACAACCAUUAAAGAACUUACAAGUAUGGGUUUUUUCUUCUCUAUGGUUAUGAUCAUGGAUAGAAUAAUUUUGAUAUGACCAUGAUUAUAUUAUAUCUGGAUGGUUUAGAUGUCUUUCAGAAAAUUAAUAUUUAUUCUUUGGCAUUAUAUAAUUUCUUAAAUAAACAUGAAGAGAGAAAUGUUUUGAAUAACAAUUCUCUAGUCCUAAAUUUUCUAUACUUAGCAUGUAUUGUUUCUUUUUUAAUAACUUACAACAACUUUAUUUUAAAAUUAGUUUAGGCAAUGUUUUUUGAAAUGGCUUCUUUGAAGUCGCUUCUUGGAAUGAUUAUAGCCAUUGUGUAAAGCCAGCAAUAAAAGAAGGAUUUGAAAGUAGAGAGUAGAACAGUAGUUACCAAGGGCUGGAGGCAGGGGUAGAGGAGAUAUUGAUCAAAGGACACAAAAUUUCAUUUAGGAGGAAUAAGUUAAAGAGACGCACUGUCACAUGGUGACUACAGUUAAUAACAAUGUGUUGUGUUAUUGAAAAUCCAUGAGGGUAGAUUUUAAGUGUUCUGACCACAAAAAAAAGCAUGUGAGGUAACACAUA
rnacentral:lncRNA from 1 species